CCUACGGGUGGCAGCAGUGAGGAAUAUUGGUCAAUGGGCGCUAGCCUGAACCAGCCAAGUAGCGUGAAGGAUGACUGCCCUAUGGGUUGUAAGCUUCUUUUAUAUGGGAAUAAAGUGCAGUAUGUAUACUGCUUUGCAUGUACCUUAUGAAUCAGGAUCGGCUAACUCCGUGCCAACAGCCGCGGUGCUACGGAGGAUCCGAGCGUUGUCCGGAUUUAUUGGGUUUAAAGGGAGCGUAGGCGGGUUGUUAAGUCAGUUGUGAAAGUUGGGGGCUCAACCGUAAAAUUGCAGUUGAUACUGGCAGCCUGGAGUACAGUAGAGGUAGGCGGAAUUCGUGGUGUAGCGGUGAAAUGCGUAGAUAUCACGAAGAACUCCGAUGGCGAAGGCAGCUUGCUGGACUGUAACUGACGCUGAUGCUCGAAAGUGUGGGUAUCAAACAGGAUUAGAUACCCUGGUAGUC
rnacentral:rRNA from 1 species